rnacentral:lncRNA from 1 species
UGCCACCUGUCACUACUGCGCUGCCAUCUCCAGUGCCUUUUCCUCAAAGCCCAGUGCCACCUGUCACUACUCCUUUGCCAUCUCCAGUGCCUUUUCCUCAAAGCCCAGUGCCACCUGUCACUACUCCUUUGCCAUCUCCUGCCCCUUCUCAAAGCCCAGUGCCACCUGUCACUACUCCGUCACCAUCUUUUGCGCCUACAACUCAGCCAUCAUCUGCUCAUUCGCCCGUGCCGUCUUUUGUGCCGACAUCUAUGCCAUCGUCUAC